rnacentral:tRNA from 1 species
GCAUUUGUGGUGUAACUGGAUAACAUACCUGGCUUCCACCCAGGCGAUGCCGGAUCAUUCCCGGUCAGAUGCU